rnacentral:rRNA from 1 species
CCUACGGGGGGCAGCAGUGAGGAAUAUUGGUCAAUGGUCGGGAGACUGAACCAGCCAAGCCGCGUGAGGGAGGAAGGUACAGAGUAUCGUAAACCUCUUUUGUCAGGGAACAAAGGCGGGGACGUGUCCCCGGAUGAGUGUACCUGAAGAAAAAGCAUCGGCUAACCCCGGUCCAGCAGCCGCGGUAAUACGGAGGAUGCGAGCUGUAUCCGGAUUUAUUGGGUUAAAGGGGUGCGCGGGCGGUCUGUUAAGUCAGCGGUAAAAGCCCGGGGCUCAACCCCGGACCGCCGUUGAAACUGGCAGUCUCGAGUUGGAGAGAAGUAUGCGGAAUGCGCGGUGUAGCGGUGAAAUGCAUAGAUAUCGCGCAGAACUCCGAUUGCGAAGGCAGCAUACCGGCUCCACACUGACGCUGAGGCACGAAAGCGUGGGGAUCGAACAGGAUUAGAUACCCGAGUAGUC